CCCUUAGAUGUUCUGGGCCGCACGCGUGCUACACUGAGCGGGCCAACGGGUGAGGAUGUGCGAAAGCGCUUCCCAAUCUCUAAAUCCGCUCGUGCUGGGGAUCGAGGCUUGCAAUUAUCCCUCUUGAACGAGGAAUACCUUGUAAGCACGGGUCAUCAUCCCGUGCUGAAUACGUCCCUGCCCUUUGUACACACCGCCCGUCGCUCCUACCGAUUGAGUGGUCCGGUGAGGCCUAGGGAGGGCUAAGUGGGCUGUGUUUCACAGACUACCUGGCCCGAACCUGGUCAAACCUUAUCACUUAGAGGAAGGAGAAGUCGUAACA
rnacentral:rRNA from 1 species